rnacentral:lncRNA from 1 species
CCUCCAGUAGCAAAAGAAAUGCGGGCAUUUUCUCAUUUAUUUUCCACAAGAAAGAAACAAAGAAAUCUGCGCUGCCCCCCUCCAAGUCCAUGCAGAGUCUAAAAAUCAGAAAUUGUGAUCGACGGCCCCAAUAUCUGGGGUUCAGGAGGCUCGGAGAACUGAGGGUGGGAGGGGUGGCUGUGGUUUAGGCUCAGAUCAAAACUCCUCCAUUUGAAAGAAAACGAAGUGGGUGCAAAAUGCAGGUUCUCAAAGAAAGGCCACAGAAUGAAAAUUUCAUUUCUCACAGAAUUCAUCCCACGCUGCACUUAGGGUUUGAAGUCCUAAAAGCUCAGGUUGAUGCUCACGAAGAGCUUACCUUCUGAAAGAGUAGGGCUCUACCUUCCGGUGAGGUCAGGAAACAUGAACAAACAGGCAAAAUCAGGUGUGUGUGUGGGGGGGGGCGGGGGGGGGGGUGCUGAAGGGGCAGAGGGGCUGAAGCCCCACCAGCCAGGGGCAAGGCUCUGAAAGGCACAGGGGACUGUGGACUCCACACUUCUCAGCAGUCCCACAGUAGAACCUAACAGCCUGGGCCAACAUUUGUCCAAGUGUGGUCCAGUGUCCACUAUGCCUCAGAAUCCCUCUGGGUGAAGGGGGGUGGGAGGGCUUGUUAAAAAUGCAGAUUCCCAGGCCCCAUCCUCAUCUUCCUGAAUUAGAAUCUUUAGGAACAGAAGGUGGAAUCUGCAUUUGAUGGGAAUACCCUGGACGGGUUAUUCUGAUGUGGCUCGCCAGCUCCCUAAUACACCUGCAGACAAUAAGCACUUAUCAGCUCCCUGCUGUGCACAGGGGAGCACCCCGGCUGUUGUGCCAUGUGCCAAAGAAGCAGAAGGUGGCUUUGCGCCCUAAGGGGUACACACUAGAGAUGUCCAUAAAUCCUCAGGGGCUUGUUCCAGGUCCACUUGCUUGCUGGCUGACUGGUGUUCAUAGGAAGCUCCAGUGCCGUGGCCUCAUGGGUUUCUCUUCUUGCAAGCAGAAAACCAAAGUCAAACUGGGCAAAUGGUUCAUUGCCCAUGUGUGGAGGAAGGGUCAAGUCAGAAGAGGACCAUUUGCCACAGGACUCUGGGAGCUGUGGAGAAAAUGGCAAGUAAAGACACCUAAGGUCUGGCUGCCCCUGGAGUCCGUACAGAACCGAACGCCUUUUAACUGAGGAGAAGCAAUUCUGACCUCACUGUCGUCAUCAUCAUGAGUUUUCAUUUUAAAAAGUAACUCCCUCCUCAGGGGCACCUGGGUGGCUCAGUGGUUCAGAAUCUGCCUUCAGCCCAGGGCGUGAUCCUGGAGUCCCAGGAUCGAGUCCCACAUCGGGCUCCCUGCAUGGAGCCUGCUUCUGCCUCUGCCUGUGUCUCUGCCUCACUCUGUGUGUGUCUCUCAUGAAUAAAUAAAAUCUUAAAAAAAAUUAACUCCUUUACAUAUACUCUCAUUUCCCUCCCACCAUACCCCCUAUUAAUUAGCAUUUUCAUUGCUCCAUCCCAGAGUCUCAGAGAGGAGGGAAGUGACUGACCUGCGGCCACACCACUGAUUCCUACCCAGGUCCAGUGGACCCCGAGAGCUGUGCUCCUCCUUCCUCAUCCUGUCACCCUUGGGAGUGGAGGGGGUCCCAGAGAGCCACAGGGCAAAGGGAGCAAGGGGAACUGGGCCGAGGUCGGACAGCUGGGGUCUGCUCCUGGCUUGGUUACACACUGACUGUAUGUUCAAGGGGGGGCGCCCUCGCUGCACCCCUCUGGGCCUGAGAGUCCCCUCAGUAAGUGGAAGAGACUGGCUCGGAUGAUCUCUGAUUCCUUCUAACAUUGGGGAGCCUGAUUCAACACUAAUGGGGAGCUGCUCUACUCUGACAGCAAUAGGGCACCACAGGCCCAGAGUCUGGGGACUGUCACAAAGCUAAGGCAGGAGCCAGCAGGGCCCGGGCCUAGAAAGUGGCUCUGGCGCCCUCCUCGGGAACCACGCAGCUCUCCACUUCUCUCAGCUUCUCUGCUUCUUUCUUCUUUCUCUGCAAAUUGGUUUAAAAAAAAAAAAAAGAUUUUAUUUAUUUAUUCACGAGAA